rnacentral:rRNA from 1 species
CCUACGGGCGGCUGCAGUGAGGAAUAUUGGUCAAUGGGCGUAAGCCUGAACCAGCCAAGUCGCGUGAGGGAUGAAGGUUCUAUGGAUCGUAAACCUCUUUUAUAAGGGAGUAAAGUGUGGGACGUGUCCUAUUUUUUAUGUACCUUAUGAAUAAGGAUCGGCUAACUCCGUUCCAGCAGCCGCGGUAAUUCGGAGGAUCCGGGCGUUAUCCGGAUUUAUUGGGUUUAAAGGGUGCGUAGGCGGCCUUUUAAGUAAGCGGUGAAAGUCUGUGGCUCAACCAUAGAAUUGCCGUUGAAACUGGGGGGCUUGAGGAUGUUUGAGGCAGGGGGAAUGCGUGGUGUAGCGGUGAAAUGCUUAGAUAUCACGCAGAACCCCGAUUGCGAAGGCAGCAUGCCAAGCCAUGACUGACGCUGAUGCACGAAAGCGUGGGGAUCAAACAGGAUUAGAGACCCGUGUAGUC